AGUGAACGCUGGCGGUAGGCCUAACACAUGCAAGUCGAACGGCAGCACAGUAAGAGCUUGCUCUUACGGGUGGCGAGUGGCGGACGGGUGAGGAAUACAUCGGAAUCUACUUUUUCGUGGGGGAUAACGUAGGGAAACUUACGCUAAUACCGCAUACGACCUACGGGUGAAAGCAGGGGAUCUUCGGACCUUGCGCGAUUGAAUGAGCCGAUGUCGGAUUAGCUAGUUGGCGGGGUAAAGGCCCACCAAGGCGACGAUCCGUAGCUGGUCUGAGAGGAUGAUCAGCCACACUGAAACUGAGACACGGUCCAGACUCCUACGGGAGGCAGCAGUGGGGAAUAUUGGACAAUGGGCGCAAGCCUGAUCCAGCCCUGCCGCGUGGGUGAAGAAGGCCUUCGGGUUGUAAAGCCCUUUUGUUGGGAAAGAAAAGCAGCAGGUUAAUACCCCGCUGUUCUGACGGUACCCAAAGAAUAAGCACCGGCUACCUUCGU
rnacentral:rRNA from 1 species